UUGCUUUGGCAGCACAUAUAAUUAAACUAGAACAAUAUAGAAAAGAUUGGCAUUGUCCCUGUGACUCACAUUCUGUGUAAGGAUGACAUAUAAAUUCAUGAAGCAUUCCACAUUUUU
rnacentral:snRNA from 1 species